GAUGAACGCUAGCUACAGGCUUAACACAUGCAAGUCGAGGGGCAGCAUUUUAGUUUGCUUGCAAACUGAAGAUGGCGACCGGCGCACGGGUGAGUAACACGUAUCCAACCUGCCGAUAACUCCGGGAUAGCCUUUCGAAAGAAAGAUUAAUACCGGAUAGUAUACGAAUAUCGCAUGAUAUUUUUAUUAAAGAAUUUCGGUUAUCGAUGGGGAUGCGUUCCAUUAGUUUGUUGGCGGGGUAACGGCCCACCAAGACUACGAUGGAUAGGGGUUCUGAGAGGAAGGUCCCCCACAUUGGAACUGAGACACGGUCCAAACUCCUACGGGAGGCAGCAGUGAGGAAUAUUGGUCAAUGGGCGCGAGCCUGAACCAGCCAAGUAGCGUGAAGGAUGAAGGCUCUAUGGGUCGUAAACUUCUUUUAUAUGGGAAUAAAGUUUUCCACGUGUGGAAUUUUGUAUGUACCAUAUGAAUAAGGAUCGGCUAACUCCGUGCCAGCAGCCGCGGUAAUACGGAGGAUCCGAGCGUUAUCCGGAUUUAUUGGGUUUAAAGGGAGCGUAGGUGGAUUGUUAAGUCAGUUGUGAAAGUUUGCGGCUCAACCGUAAAAUUGCAGUUGAAACUGGCAGUCUUGAGUACAGUAGAGGUGGGCGGAAUUCGUGGUGUAGCGGUGAAAUGCUUAGAUAUCACGAAGAACUCCGAUUGCGAAGGUAGCUCACUAGACUGUCACUGACACUGAUGCUCGAAAGUGUGGGUAUCAAACAGGAUUAGAUACCCUGGUAGUCCACACAGUAAACGAUGAAUACUCGCUGUUUGCGAUAUACAGUAAGCGGCCAAGCGAAAGCAUUAAGUAUUCCACCUGGGGAGUACGCCGGCAACGGUGAAACUCAAAGGAAUUGACGGGGGCCCGCACAAGCGGAGGAACAUGUGGUUUAAUUCGAUGAUACGCGAGGAACCUUACCCGGGCUUAAAUUGCAACAGAAUAUAUUGGAAACAGUAUAGCCGUAAGGCUGUUGUGAAGGUGCUGCAUGGUUGUCGUCAGCUCGUGCCGUGAGGUGUCGGCUUAAGUGCCAUAACGAGCGCAACCCUUAUCUUUAGUUACUAACAGGUUAUGCUGAGGACUCUAGAGAGACUGCCGUCGUAAGAUGUGAGGAAGGUGGGGAUGACGUCAAAUCAGCACGGCCCUUACGUCCGGGGCUACACACGUGUUACAAUGGGGGGUACAGAAGGCGGCUACCUGGUGACAGGAUGCUAAUCCCAAAAACCUCUCUCAGUUCGGAUCGAAGUCUGCAACCCGACUUCGUGAAGCUGGAUUCGCUAGUAAUCGCGCAUCAGCCAUGGCGCGGUGAAUACGUUCCCGGGCCU
rnacentral:rRNA from 1 species